GCCACUGACGUAAAAACGCGCACCACUCGCUCACCCAUCGUCACACCUUUUCCAAGUGCACCGGGAGGUCCCAAACGCUCUUCUACUGUCAGCAUGCGUUCAUGUGUGUGUUUUGUGGUUCCCAUUUAGCAAACAGGGCGACUUCCGGUCGCCAGAAAUGUCGGUGUGGCGUUAGGACCAGUACAUCUCAAUCAACACAAACUUCCACUUCGCAACACAGUUUCUUUUCUCUUCGUAGGACUGUUAAACUAACGACCUCGCCAAACUUAUCACCCAACUCCGUGGGCUCGUGUGUGUGUGUGUGUGCAUCAUUAAUCGAAAAGCCCUACAAUUUCAUCCGACACCCUCGCAGCGAACGGAAGAAAUAAAGUCAUCAGUACUCUGGCGGGCCCGAGGAAACUGUCAUUAAAGUAGCGUUAUCAUAAAUCAUAAUCCGCUGACAAUCGUACACCAAUCAACCCGUGCAACUUGCACACGAGACUGUCGGACGUGCCAUCCUUUCGGGAAUACUGGAACCACCUCCCAAUUCCCAACGGCUGCGGGUAGCUUAUGAUCAUGAUGAUUAUGAUGGUGAUGAUGAUGAUGAUGAUAGUGUAACCGUUGCUUCGUUUGGUGUGAUAUUAUGUGAAAAAGUAAAUUAUAGUUGUCAACAUCGGUUUCGUCGGACAGGCCACAACAACAGUGAUGAUAAUGGCGAUGUACACGGCAAACCAUUCGAAGUUUGCCAGCGAACGGCCAUCAUCCUACACGUCGGGGAAAACGUCAAACGCUGUCGGAUCAACGGCCAUUAGCUGUUUUCGGGGUUUCGUGUCAGUAAUUAUUACUUUUUAAUUAGUUCCCCCAGCAUGACAGUUCCCAGUACGCUCCUGUUUGUUACCGAUACCACCGAGAGCAAACAUCGAUAGUAGCUGCCGCCACCAGGAAAACCAAGCCCCUUUCUCGGAAAGCCACUCAUCCACGUGGAUUAUUCUUGGCCAUAAAACUUGUCCAUUGUAGCGGGGAUAAAAGUGUGCUUCGAUGUCGAAGUCCUUUCCGCGUGCCGAAAUGGCGAUCCGAUCGACUCAGCUUUUGGGCUGACUUUCCUGUAGCUGGACGCGUAAAAUCGAUUCCCGUGUGUGUGCCCCAUCACAGCCGACCCAUCCGGAGGUAGUAGCGGUCGUAAAAUAAACUAAAUCUGGAUGCCAAACACUCGACAAACUCUUCAACAAAAAAAGAUGGCAGAAAUCCACCUAUCCUAGCGAACAAAGCGAGGGACGAUGAGUUCGACGGCCGUAAAAACUAAACUCACAAAGGCAGUUUGGAAAAAGCCAUCAAAAACGAAACUCCCGCCCGUACAUGGUACACAUGGUACACAUGAGGGCCACCUUUAACUACCGACCCUGGUAAAAGACACAUUAUUAGUAUCCAACACGAUCAUCACUACCCAGCACGUAAUCAUCAUCGUCAGAUCAUCAGCAAAUGGAUUUCGUGUGCGUAGCCAAGACAAACGACUGAAGCAUCGAUUCGGUAAUGAUGUGUGGCAGCAGCUUCAGCAGCCCCCAACAACGCAAAUAGCAACAGAACCUCUUCAACAAGUCCAGAUCCGCUAAACGCGAGGAUGAAGUUUCACCCAGACCAACAAUAGAACCGGACAACCACACCGCAAUCACGCCACGCCCGGGAUAAGGCGAAGUAUCAAGGAGGAAAUGCCUUAGUAAUUUUUUGUAUUUUAGGCGCCGAUCUUCACACGACAGGACCGGGGCUAAAAUCCUAUCCCAACUGCCAGAAUUUUUCAACAGUCUGGCUCAUCGCAUUUUUGUUCUCUUUUGGCUAAAUAUAAAGGCUAUUUCAUAGAACGCAUCAGCUACAUUAUUUUUGUCUGAACUACUCUUCUCGA